rnacentral:rRNA from 1 species
CGUUCCCGGGCCUUGUACACACCGCCCGUCACAUCACGAAAGCCCGUUGUACUAGAAGCCGGUGAUUUAACCGCAAGGGGAUAGCCGUCCAAGGUAUGACUGGUGUG